AGAGUUUGAUCCUGGCUCAGGAUGCCCGCUAGCGGCAGGCUUAACACAUGCAAGUCGAGGGGCAGCGGGGGAGUGGCAACACUUCCGCCGGCGACCGGCGCACGGGUGAGUAACACGUAUGAAACCUGCCCGCAGCAGGGGGAUAAGCGGAAGAAAUUCCGUCUAAUACCGCGUAACAACCGACGGGGGCAUCCCUGUUGGUUCAAAGGAGCGAUCCGGCUGCGGAUGGUCAUGCGGCGCAUUAGCUAGUUGGCGGGGCAACGGCCCACCAAGGCGACGAUGCGUAGGGGUUCUGAGAGGAAGGUCCCCCACACUGGUACUGAGACACGGACCAGACUCCUACGGGAGGCAGCAGUGAGGAAUAUUGGUCAAUGGCCGAGAGGCUGAACCAGCCAAGUCGCGUGAGGGAUGACGGCCCUACGGGUUGUAAACCUCUUUUGCCGGGGAGCAAAGAGCGGGACGCGUCCCGCCUCGAGAGUACCCGGAGAAAAAGCAUCGGCUAACUCCGUGCCAGCAGCCGCGGUAAUACGGAGGAUGCGAGCGUUAUCCGGAUUUAUUGGGUUUAAAGGGUGCGCAGGCGGAAGCGCAAGUCAGCGGUAAAAUUGAGAGGCUCAACCUCUUCCCGCCGUUGAAACUGCGUUUCUUGAGUGGGCGAGAAGUACGCGGAAUGCGUGGUGUAGCGGUGAAAUGCAUAGAUAUCACGCAGAACUCCGAUUGCGAAGGCAGCGUACCGGCGCCCAACUGACGCUCAUGCACGAAAGCGUGGGUAUCGAACAGGAUUAGAUACCCUGGUAGUCCACGCAGUAAACGAUGAAUGCUGGCUGUCCGGGGGGACUGACCCCUGGGUGGCGAAGCGAAAGCGAUAAGCAUUCCACCUGGGGAGUACGCCGGCAACGGUGAAACUCAAAGGAAUUGACGGGGGCCCGCACAAGCGGAGGAACAUGUGGUUUAAUUCGAUGAUACGCGAGGAACCUUACCCGGGCUCAAACGGGGAGUGCCGCAGGCAGAGACGCCUGUUUCCCACGGGACACUCCCCGAGGUGCUGCAUGGUUGUCGUCAGCUCGUGCCGUGAGGUGUCGGCUUAAGUGCCAUAACGAGCGCAACCCCCGCGUGCAGUUGCUAACAGAUAACGCUGAGGACUCUGCACGGACUGCCGGCGCAAGCCGCGAGGAAGGCGGGGAUGACGUCAAAUCAGCACGGCCCUUACGUCCGGGGCGACACACGUGUUACAAUGGGUGGUACAGCGGGAAGCCAGGCGGCGACGCCGAGCGGAACCCGAAAUCCACUCUCAGUUCGGAUCGGAGUCUGCAACCCGACUCCGUGAAGCUGGAUUCGCUAGUAAUCGCGCAUCAGCCAUGGCGCGGUGAAUACGUUCCCGGGCCUUGCACACAAAGCCCGUCA
rnacentral:rRNA from 1 species